rnacentral:rRNA from 1 species
AGCGUACACAGGUGCUGCAUGGCUGUCGUCAGCUCGUGUCGUGAGAUGUUGGGUUAAGUCCCGCAACCGAGCGCAACCCCUGCAUUCAGUUGCCAUCGGGUGAAGCCGGGCACUCUGGAAGGACUGCCAUCGACAAGAUGGAGGAAGGUGGGGACGACGUCAAGUCAUCAUGGCCCUUAUGUCCAGGGCGACACACGUGCUACAACGGCCGGCACAACGGGAAGCGAGUUCGCGAGGACGAGCGGAUCCCUUAAAGACCGGUCGCAGUUCGGAUUGAAGUCUGCAACUCGACUUCAUGAAGCUGGAAUCGCUAGUAAUCGCAGAUCAGCCAAGCUGCGGUGAAUACGUUCCCGGGCCUU